UUCACAAGUUUGGUCUUAAGAAAAAAAUUCCAAGUCAACCGUUACAUUUUCCAACUGUAACUGGAUUUUCCAAACUUUGGGGGGCGUUACGCCCCCCACGCCCCCCUAUUAUUUACGUGCCUGUCAGUAUUCUUCGUAAGUUGGGUUUUGUUUUUACAUUCCUUGAAGAACGACGACAAGUUUUUAUUGCUAUGAAAUUGAAAUUUGGUUAAAUGAGGGCAAUUCUGUUAUUUAGAAUUAUUGUGGUCUAGAUUAUUUUCCUUGACUCGCUUGCAGGCGUUCUUUUACAUUUUUUAUACAUCUGAACCUUCUCUAUCGAUGUUUCGGGCAAUUUAACCUAGCGUUCAGAAUCUUUAACAACAAACUAUGUAGACUAACUUACCACCAUUUCAUCCUGUUAGCCCUUUGUCAGUGGAAACGCCAUCAGGGGCUGAAGCUCAUCGAAACCAAACCCCGUUAUUAACGAGUCUUAGUCAGCUCUCGAGUCCCAGAGUGGUAUUACCGGCUGUCGACGAUGGCGAUUCAAGACCAGGCUCCGCAGCCCUGAUAAGAUCUCGACCAGCAUCCGCAGCCUCGGUUGACUCUGUCUCCGAUUCAUUGCACCCUUUGGUAUGACCCACAACGAGGCACCAAAGAAACCCCAAUAGAAUGCUCCCGCCACUGCAAGUUCGAGUCAGGGCUACAGACAAUCGAAAUCCUGGCAGUGACGUAUGAAACCUUGUAUAGCUAACAUGCAAACAUUGUAAAUACAACGUAUAUCUGUAGAUCCGUACAUGUCAAAUUAGAGGAACAAGGAAAUCAGAGCACCAUUACCGCCGGACCAAUCAAGAACUUUCCUGGGGUCUGGGACCCUUGAUAAAGUCAUUGUUGUUUUGUCAGAAGCUUUGUUACAUCUUGGUCGGGCCCCUCUCAGCUAAGGGCACGGGGAAAUCUGCCUUCCCUACCUCGCCUGCUUUCCUUGUGCCCCUGCCAAUUAUUGAGAGAACAUGUGAUUUGUGUUGGGGCAAUGAGCUUUGCGGCAUAUACAUUUACCAAAAACAUGUCGCUUUCCUUCCACUUGGAGAAGGUGAUUUUUUUAAAUCUGGCUUUAAUUUUAAUUUGUGAUUUUAUGCAUUUAGUAUCGUGAUUAUAUGCAUAAAGUAUAAAGUAUUUAAUAUCAGCUCUCGGAGUGGUCUGUAGCAUGUAUAAAUCAUCGUCGUAUCCAAUACGUAUUGAUUGUGAUUUUCAGAUUUACUAAUCAGUCUGUAGAUUAUUAGGAUCUUCCGUAAUAUCAAAAGUCCGCAUCGUGCUUUUGUA